CGGACGUGGAGAACCUGCCGUAUACUGGGGGAUAACACUUAGAAAUAGGUGCUAAUACCGCAUAAGCGCACAGCUUCGCAUGAAGCAGUGUGGAAAACAAAAAGCUAAAGCUUUUGGUGGUAUACGAUGGAUCCGCGUCUGAUUAGCUAGUUGGCGGGGGUAAAGGCCCACCAAGGCGACGAUCAGUAGCCGGCCUGAGAGGGUGAACGGCCACAUUGGGACUGAGACACGGCCCAAACUCCUACGGAAGGCAGCAG
rnacentral:rRNA from 1 species